AUGCCAAUAGUGCAGAGGCCUAAGGUGUCGCUACCCACCACUUUCCCGAUGCUGACACAUAGUAACUAUGGCGACUGGUCGCUUCUGAUGAGAGCCAUCCUACAGACGCACGAUCUGUGGGACGCCAUGGACACCGGCGCCGCUGACUACCAUGACGAUCGAGCGGCACUCGAGUUCGUGCUUCGGGGGGUGCCCCCGGAGAUGCUCAUUGUCCUCUCCACCAAGCAUACUGCUAAGGAGGCCUAG
rnacentral:rRNA from 1 species